UACGUAGGGGGCGAGCGUUGUCCGGAUUUAUUGGGCGUAAAGAGCGUGUAGGCGGCCAGGUAGGUCUGCUGUGAAAACUCGAGGCUCAACCUCGAGACGUCGGCGGAAACCAUCUGGCUAGAGUCCGGAAGAGGAGAGUGGAAUUCCUGGUGUAGCGGUGAAAUGCGCAGAUAUCUGGAGGAAUACCGGUGGCGAAGGCGGCAUCCUGGACCGACAUUGACGCUGAGGAGCGAAAGCCAGGGGAGCAAAUGGG
rnacentral:rRNA from 1 species